rnacentral:lncRNA from 1 species
AUACUUUAAAUAGACAAAAGAAUGCAUAAGUACCUAUUGAAACUUUCACAAAGGUUAUUCAAUAGCCUGUCACAUCUACUAUGUGUCUUGAACAAUGCUCUAGUCCAGGUCUGAAAUGGUCUUUCAGGAUGAUCGAACCAUUUUAUAGCCUCUCUGUCCUCUUGCUUGAGUCGUUCCAUACAAAUCUUAAAUUUCACCUCAUUACUUGCUCUUGCUGCAUUCCAUACUAGAUCCUUUAGUCCCUUGCCUUUAUGUUUAUGCCUAAAAUUUUGAUAUAUGUGUCUAACACAAUUUCUAUGUUCUGCUUUUGGAAACAAUUCCUUAACAACUCCAAUCAAUCCAUGUAACAUAGAUUUUAAAUUGUCAAAUACAUAAUAAAAAAAAAACCAGUAAACUAGAAAAAUGAAAGAAUUUGGAUGUCUCACUUUUUGUCUGUCAGACAUGAAGGCAAUGUGGUGACUAUUUGUUAUCUCUAAGUCAUAUCCAAGAUUUGUUAGAAACCAACUCCAAGUCUCCUUACUUUCAGCAUCACUGUGAAAGAUGCAAUCAUUAGGAUCCAUUGCAAUAGCAGCUAACAAAUUGCCUCCAUAUGUGCCUUUAAGCCAACAACCAUCUAGGAUUAUUAAUGGCCUACACACAGACUUAAAAGCUUCCUUUAGAGGAGCAAGACACACAUAAAAUCCCUUGAAUUUACAUUCAUCUCUCCAAAUUUCUACGUUAGAGCCUGGAUUUGUGUUCAACAAAUCUGCCCUAUAUCGUAACAACUUUCCAUAUUGUGCACACUCAUCCCCAUAAACCCAUUUUAAAGCUUGUUGUUUGGCUCUCCAUGCCUUCCUAUAUUCUAUAGUGUAGCCAAGGUCUUUUUGCACAAUUGCAAUUAUUCCACUAACAUUCCAAGUUGGAUCAGCUCUAAAAUUAUUAAAAUACUUCCUUGCAAUCCAUUGAGGUAUCACAUGGAAAUUGUCAGAUACGGUAGGACCUCUAUGAUUUAUAUUCAAUGUUUUGAUUUGAAUCGUUGGAUCACACUUACGUAUUGGACUUGCAAAAACAUGGAAUGGGCACCCAAAAUUAGGGGUGUGCAAAAACCGAUUUAACCAAUAAACCAAACCGAAAAAACGCUAUUGGUUUAUUGAUAUUGGGUUAUUGGGCUAACGGUUUUGCAAAAUUUUUUAUUGGGUUAUUGGUUCGGUUUCCGGUUUUAUAAUUUUGUUAAUGGUUAAACCGAUAACCCAAUAAGACUAUACUAAAUUUACUAGUCUUAUUGUUAAUGAUUAAACGAUUGUUACUUUCACACUUUUUCCUUUGAAUGUGUCUAGUGUCUAAACUUGCAAGAAAAUGAUUGUUACUUUUAUGAUUAUUACUUUCAUGCCAAAUGUUGGAAAAAUCAUAUGGUUUAUUUGAAAAUUUUCUUAUCGUGUAUAUAAUAUGUAUGAGUAUUUUCUUAUUGGUUAAACCGAAAAUCGAACCGUUAAGUACCAUAAACCGAUUAACCAAAAACCGAUAAGAAAUAUGUUAUUGGUUUGGUUAUCGGUUUGCCAUAUUUACAAACCGAAAACCGAUAAACCGAACCAAUAACACCUAAAACCGAACCGAACCGUGGAAUGCGCACCCCUACCCAAAAUGUUUACAUUUACAAAUACAUCUUUGUUUAUCAUUGGUGGUGAAGUAUAGUUGCCUCAUAUGUUUAAUCCCCCAGUUCAUGCAAACCUCCUUAAACUGAUCAAAGCUAGCAAACUUCAUCCCUACUUCUAAAAUAGGAUUGUCAUUUUCUGCAUUAUACUAUGUGUAUUCUACCUCGUCAUCUGAAUCAGUACCCCCCUCCAACAAUUCAUCAGAAUCGUCAUAAUCUGAUUCUCCAUUCUGAUGCACUUGUGGAAUUAAAAUUCCAGUAGUGGAUGGACCAACACCAUUACUUCGACCAUUAGUAUUCUUUUUGGGUCUACCUUUCGCCUUCAUACCACGACGCUCAAUAACAACAUCAUGAUAAUCUUCAUCAUCUUCCUCCAACUUAUAAUAAGGAUCAUUGAAAUUAUUAUCAUCUACCUCACCAAUCAUAUUAUCUUGAACAACCCCUAUUACAUUAUCCCUUAAAAUCAUUACACUACCACCCUGAACUUCUUCAGCCAACACUAGGCUAAAAAAUUGUUCACAUUGUGAUGAUAUUUUCUAAAAGCACAGCAGUGUAGAUAAAUAUCAUAAAACAGAUAAAAUUCUAAGGUUCUAAACAUAAUAAAUCCUAACCAUUUAUCUAUUGAGAAAAAUCUAAUACCCACAUGGAUAAAGAACCCUAACUUCACUUGUUGUUCCGAUUCAACAACAAAUAACUAAAAGAAAAAAUUUAAGCGCACCUUGUUUUCUUGAGAGUUACCCGCGUAGUGGUCCCUUUCUUCGUGAAACAAGGACUGGGGAGAUGAGUUGGAGUCAUUUAUUUGAGAUUCAGUUGUUGUUCUCCUUGAUUCAGUAGCAUACUCCAUCUUCAAAAGUUGAAUUUUGGACUAUAAUGGAAGAUGCCUAAAUCAAAAUAGAGGAGGAGGAGAGUCCAUUUGAAUUUCUACGUAAUAUAGAGCUUGAAGUCGAGAUGCCCAAAUUAAAACCUAGCUAAAAGGGGAAGAAGAUGAGAGGCACCAACAAUGGAGAAUGAAAAAGAAAAAUGUAGAGGAG